rnacentral:rRNA from 1 species
UGGGGAAUAUUGGACAAUGGGGGCAACCCUGAUCCAGCCAUGCCGCGUGUGUGAAGAAGGUCUUAGGAUUGUAAAGCACUUUAAGUUGGGAGGAAGGGCAGUUAACUAAUACUUGACUGUUUUGACGUUACCGACAGAAUAAGCACCGGCUAACUUCGUGCCAGCAGCCGCGGUAAUACGAAGGGUGCAAGCGUUAAUCGGAAUUACUGGGCGUAAAGCGCGCGUAGGUGGUUCGUUAAGUUAGGAGUGAAAGCCCCGGGCUCAACCUGGGAAUUGCUUCUAAAACUGGCGAGCUAGAGUAUGGUAGAGGGUGGUGGAAUUUCCUGUGUAGCGGUGAAAUGCGUAGAUAUAGGAAGGAACAUCAGUGGCGAAGGCGACCACCUGGACUGAUACUGACACUGAGGUGCGAAAGCGUGGGGAGCAAACAGG